rnacentral:rRNA from 1 species
UACAGAGGUCUCAAGCGUUGUUCGGAUUCAUUGGGCGUAAAGGGUGCGUAGGCGGUGUCGUAAGUCGGAUGUGAAAUCCCGGGGCUUAACUUCGGAACUGCAUUCGAUACUGCGAUACUCGAGGACUCGAGAGGAGAUCGGAAUUCACGGUGUAGCAGUGAAAUGCGUAGAUAUCGGAAGGAACACCUGUGGCGAAAGCGGCUCACUGGACCAUAACUGACGCUGAUGCACGAAAGCUAGGGGAGCAAACAGG